rnacentral:tRNA from 1 species
GGGGUUGUCGCUCAUUGGUAGAGCGCUUGCCUAGGAUGCGUGUGGCCCUGGAUUCGAUCCCCGGCACUCCA